CUGGCUCAGGAUGAACGCUGGCGGCGUGCCUAACACAUGCAAGUCGAGCGAUCUCUCGGAAGAGAGCGGCGGACGGGUGAGUAACGCGUGGGUAACCUGCCCUGUACACACGGAUAACAUACCGAAAGGUAUGCUAAUACGGGAUAACAUACUUUUAUCGCAUGGUAGAAGUAUCAAAGCUCCGGCGGUACAGGAUGGACCCGCGUCUGAUUAGCUAGUUGGUAAGGUAACGGCUUACCAAGGCGACGAUCAGUAGCCGACCUGAGAGGGUGAUCGGCCACAUUGGAACUGAGACACGGUCCAAACUCCUACGGGAGGCAGCAGUGGGGAAUAUUGCACAAUGGGCGAAAGCCUGAUGCAGCCAACGCCGCGUGAGCGAUGAAGGCCUUCGGGUCGUAAAGCUCUGUCCUCAAGGAAGAUAAUGACGGUACUUGAGGAGGAAGCCCCGGCUAACUACGUGCCAGCAGCAGC
rnacentral:rRNA from 1 species